rnacentral:rRNA from 1 species
GAUGAACGCUAGCGGCAGGCCUAAUACAUGCAAGUCGAACGGUGUCUUCGGACAUAGUGGCGCACGGGUGCGUAACACGUAUGCAACCUACCUUACAUUGGGGGAUAGCCUUUCGAAAGGGAGAUUAAUACCGCAUAAGACAGUAGCUGGGCAUCCAGCAGCUGUUAAAGAUUUAUCGAUGUAAGCUGGGCAUGCGUCCAAUUAGCUAGUUGGUGAGGUAACGGCUCACCAAGGCAAUGAUUGGUAGGGGAACUGAGAGGUCAAUCCCCCACACUGGCACUGGGAUACGGGCCAGACUCCUACGGGAGGCAGCAGUAGGGAAUAUUGGGAAAUGGACGCAAGUCUGACCCAGCCAUGCCGCGUGCAGGAUGAAGGCGUUAUGCGUUGUAAACUGCCUUUAUACAGGAAGAAACGACUCUUGCGAGAGGCAUUGACGGUACUGUAUGAAUAAGCACCGGCUAACUCCGUGCCAGCCGCCGCGGUAAGAC